UCUUCUCAGUUGUUCUCAUCGUCUCCAGAACGAACAAAAAUAAUUACCGACAGACAGACACCAGUACGCAGAUCAUGUUAUGUUCCCUCCCUUUUCUUCCUUUCUCUAUCUAAAACCAAACCAAACCAAACCAACUUCUUUCUCUCUCUAAGCAUCCAUGGCUGCCCACCGGCGCCGCCACCACCACCACACUUAUAACCGGUUCCGUUACCUUAUUCCGGCAAUUUCCGUCACAUCCGGUGCCAUUCUCAUGCUCUACGGUUUUAUCUCUCUCCUUGCACCUUCUCCUGAUCAUCUCCACCACUUUGUACGCCGGAAAUCGUUGAGUGAAGAUGGCGUUGUUGAUGAUUCGCCCGCUAUUCCUUCGCUGUUCAAAGUUUCGGUCAGUGGUGAGAUGGCGAGUGAUAAAAGUCUAUGGAAUACAAAGAUGUCAGAGUUUUAUUAUGGGUGUAGUAAUGCUAGCAAUAAGUUUCCAAAAGUAGAAACAGUUACAUAUCCUAAUCGAUACUUGCUGAUAGCCACGAGUGGUGGUUUAAACCAACAACGAACUGGUAUUACAGACGCUGUUGUUGCUGCGCGUAUACUGAACGCUACUCUUGUUAUUCCGAAAUUGGACCAGAAGUCAUUUUGGAAGGAUUCUAGUACUUUUUCAGAGAUAUUUGACGUUGACUGGUUUAUAACACAUUUAUCGAGGGAUGUAAAAGUCAUAAAAGAGCUUCCACGGAAGGGGGGCAAGGAUUGGAUUCCGUAUAAUAUGCGUGUUCCUAGAAAGUGUAACGAGAGAUGCUAUCAGAUUCGUGUGUUGCCAGUACUUAUGAAGAAGAAUGCUGUUCAGCUGAGUAAGUUUGAUUACAGACUUGCUAACAGGUUGGAGACUGAUCUUCAAAAGCUUAGAUGCAGGGUAAACUACCAUGCUUUAAAGUUCACUGAUCCUAUUAAUAGAAUGGGUCAAAAGUUGGUCAACCGAAUGAGGAAGUUGGGCAAGCACUAUAUUGCUCUACAUCUGAGGUUUGAACCUGAUAUGCUUGCAUUUUCAGGAUGCUAUUAUGGUGGUGGAGAGAAGGAAAGAAGAGAAUUGGGUAAAAUACGGAAGAGGUGGAAAACUUUACAUAGCAACAAUCCCGACAAAGAAAGGAGACAAGGUAGAUGCCCACUUACACCCGAAGAAGUGGGUCUAAUGUUGCGAGCACUUGGAUAUAACAAAGGCGUUCAUCUUUACGUGGCUUCAGGUGAAGUAUAUGGCGGGGAUGAGACAUUAGCCCCCUUGAGAGCACUUUUCCCUAACAUUCAUUCAAAAGACGCCAUAGCCACCAAACAAGAGUUGGAACCGUUUUCUGCAUUUUCUUCCCGUAUGGCUGCACUUGAUUUCAUUGUGUGUGAUGAAAGCGACGUCUUUGUUACAAAUAAUAACGGGAACAUGGCAAAAAUUUUGGCCGGGCGGAGGAGAUACUUUGGACACAAACCAACAAUACGUCCAAAUGCUAAAAAACUCUACCGUUUAUUCCUAAACCGAGAAAACACAACAUGGGAGGAAUUUUCUUCAAAAGUAAGAAGUCGUCAAAGAGGUUUCAUGGGGGAGCCAAGGGAGGUAAGGCCCGGACGCGGUGAAUUUCAUGAAAACCCCGCUACUUGCAUAUGUGAAGACCCGCAAGCUAAAUCAAAACUGCAAACGCUCCCUCGAAAGUUUGGGAAGACUGAUGUUGACUCUGAUGAUGUAUUUGUUGACCCGGAUGUUGAUAACGAACAUGAAUUAUCAGACCAGGAUGAAGAUGAUGAUGAUCUUAUCGACCCCCAGUUUCAACAUCUUGUUAAUGAUACAAGUGUUGAUGAUGAUCCUUUGAUAUCUGACGUACCUGAAAUUGAAGAGUUGCUUUCUGACUAAAUGUUCCCGGUUUUACCGGUUGGCUGAUCUUGAUAUUGUGGAUUCGGUGCUAAAGGAACGAGUCAGGAAACACUUGCUACUUUAUGGGGGUUUUGCUAUUUAAAUGUGGCGCUUACCAGAAGUACGGCUUCAAAAUGCAAAUCAAAGGUGCAGGGGCAGAUUUGGUCAUUCGGUUGCUAUGUAUUAGUGGUGCUAAUGUAAAUGAGGCAACAGGAUUUGCAUGGGCCGAUUUGGUACUUCUCUUAACAUGCAUUUUCAACUUCUUUCGGCAGGUCUGAAGGUAGCAUUACCUCAUAAUCCGACAGGUAUGCUUGACGCCUUUAUUUUUUCCUCCGGAGCUUUAACCAUUGCAUCAACGGAACAAAACCUCAUCAAAAUCCCUCCCUUCCAGACAACAGUUGAAAGAGUGAGUCAAUAUCUUCAAUUGGCCUUUAUUAUACACACCUGCAUGGCUGCAUGCUAACAAGUCCAAUGUCAACAAAGGCUACAUUCAGCUCAGGCGAUUCGGUCUUGUAUAUUCCAUAGGCUAGACUGCUAGAGCAGUUGCAGUUGCAGUUGUUUCAUGAGUCAAACGCAAAGGAUAUUUUUUUUAUCCAUCUCAAUGUUUUCACCCGACCAUUUUCCACUAAUUUUUGCGGCAUCUUCAUGCUGUCUUGA